GCAUGAAGUCGGAAUUGCUAGUAAUCGCGGAUCAGCAUGCCGCGGUGAAUACGUUCUCGGGCCUUGUACACACCGCCCGUCACACCAUGAGAGUUGGGAAUACCCGAAGCCUGUGAGCUAACGUUAAGAGGCAGCAGUCGAAGGUAGAAUCAAUGAUUGGGGUGAAGUCGUAACAAGGUAGC
rnacentral:rRNA from 1 species